GAUCUGCAGCCGUCCAAACAAAGCAUCAUCGUACUAUGAGUAAAAGCUAAAACCUGUCCAGUUAUUAUUCGCAUGAGCACCUGCAAAAUAAAAAAGAAAAGACUUAACAGUAGACACAUCAGAAUUUCACACCCCAAUUUAGGGUUUACCUUUAUUCGCACUUCUUAGUGUGCCACCCAUUUCCUCCUCCGCCGCCGUCAGCAGCAAUGGCAGACACAUCUUCUCCUCCGACGGACCAACUCGCAGUCACCACCCUCGACGACGAGGUACCCAAGGCCCAAUUCUCGGAUCGCGUCCCG
rnacentral:lncRNA from 1 species